rnacentral:rRNA from 1 species
UACAUAGGGGGCAAGCGUUAUCCGGAAUUACUGGGUGUAAAGGGUGCGUAGGCGGCAAUGCAAGUCAGAUGUGAAAACCCGGGGCUCAACCCCGGGAAUGCAUUUGAAACUGUGUAGCUAGAGUGCAGGAGAGGUAAGUGGAAUUCCUAGUGUAGCGGUGAAAUGCGUAGAUAUUAGGAAGAACACCAGUGGCGAAGGCGACUUACUGGUCUGUAACAGACGCUGAAGCACGAAAGCGUGGGGAGCGAACAGG